rnacentral:rRNA from 2 species
UCCUUGAGAGUCCUGAAGGAACGUUGAAGACGACGACGUUGAUAGGCCGGGUGUGUAAGCGCAGCGAUGCGUUGAGCUAACCGGUACUAAUGAACCGUGAGGCUUAACCUU